GAUGAACGCUAGCGGCAGGCCUAAUACAUGCAAGUCGAACGGUGUCUUCGGACAUAGUGGCGCACGGGUGCGUAACACGUAUGCAACCUACCUUACAUUGGGGGAUAGCCUUUCGAAAGGGAGAUUAAUACCGCAUAAGACAGUAGCUGGGCAUCCAGCAGCUGUUAAAGAUUUAUCGAUGUAAGCUGGGCAUGCGUCCAAUUAGCUAGUUGGUGAGGUAACGGCUCACCAAGGCAAUGAUUGGUAGGGGAACUGAGAGGUCAAUCCCCCACACUGGCACUGAGAUACGGGCCAGACUCCUGCGGGAGGCAGCAGUAGGGAAUAUUGGGCAAUGGACGCAAGUCUGACCCAGCCAUGCCGCGUGCAGGAUGAAGGCGUUAUGCGUUGUAAACUGCUUUUAUACAGGAAUAAACGACUCUUGCGAGAGGCAUUGACGGUACUGUAUGAAUAAGCACCGGCUAACUCCGUGCCAGCCGCCGCAGUAAUAC
rnacentral:rRNA from 1 species